rnacentral:pre_miRNA from 1 species
ACAUGAAUCCCCUGGGCAUCUUGUUGAAAUGCAGAUUCUAAUUCAGUAAACCGAGGAAAGCCUAAGAUUCUGCAUUUCUAAUAAGCUGCCAGAUGAUACCAGU